rnacentral:misc_RNA from 1 species
GUAGGUGAACCUGCGGAAGGAUCAUUAGUGAACGACCCUCGUGGUCUUAUAACAAAAUCCCAAACCUCUGUGAACCGUGGCCCUCGGGCCUUUUACAAACAUCAGUGUAACGAACGUCUCAGUCUUUAUUGACAAAACGAAAACAUAACUUUCAACAACGGAUCUCUUGGCUCUC